rnacentral:rRNA from 1 species
UGACGGUACCUGACUAAGAAGCACCGGCUAAAUACGUGCCAGCAGCCGCGGUAAUACGUAUGGUGCAAGCGUUAUCCGGAUUUACUGGGUGUAAAGGGAGCGUAGGCGGUCUUACAAGUCUGAUGUGAAAGCCCGGGGCUCAACUCCGGUACUGCAUUGGAAACUGUAGGACUAGAGUGUCGGAGGGGUAAGUGGAAUUCCUAGUGUAGCGGUGAAAUGCGUAGAUAUUAGGAGGAACACCAGUGGCGAAGGCGGCUUACUGGACGAUUACUGACGCUGAGGCUCGAAAGCGUGGGGAGCAAACAGGAUUAGAUACCCUG